GACAGAGGCCUCGAGCGUUAGGCGGAAUCACUGGGCGUAAAGGGUGCGUAGGCGGGUCUUUAAGUCAGGGGUGAAAUCCUGGAGCUCAACUCCAGAACUGCCUUUGAUACUGAGGAUCUUGAGUUCGGGAGAGGUGAGUGGAACUGCGAGUGUAGAGGUGAAAUUCGUAGAUAUUCGCAAGAACACCAGUGGCGAAGGCGGCUCACUGGCCCGAUACUGACGCUGAGGCACGAAAGCGUGGGGAGCAAACAGG
rnacentral:rRNA from 1 species